GAACGAGUUGGAAAGCUCAGCCAGAGACUGUGAUAGCCAGGUAUGCGAAAACGACGCUGACCUUAUUCUGUAUUCUCGAGUAGGUCGGGGCACGAGAAACCCUGAUUGAAUCCGGCUGGACCACCAGCCAAGGCUAAAUAUAGUAUAUGAUCGAUAGUGAACUAGUACGGUGACGGAAAGGUGAAAAGAACCCCGGGAGGGGAGUGAAAUAGAACCUGAAAUUUUGUGCCUACAAGGAGUCGGAGCCCAGCACCUUUGAAAUCGAGUGGUACAAUGUAGGCGGAUGUUCUACGUGUACGUUUUGCAAAGUGAUCGGGAAUCAGAUCAAAUUUACUUCGGUCAGACCAGUGACCUAAGACGACGUCUCUCGGAGCAUAAUUCCGGUAAGGAUACUUAUACCAAGAUAUAUGCGCCAUGGAAGGUUGUCUAUUAUGAAGCCUAUUCAUCACGUAAGCUGGCAUUAGCCCGUGAGAGACAGUUGAAAGCUUAUGGACAAGCCAGGACUGCCCUGAAGAAGAGACUAAAUUUGAUCUGAUACUCGAUUUCAAAGGUGCUGGGUGACGGCGUGCUUUUUGUAGAACGAUCCAGCGAGUUAAUUUUUACGGCGAGGUUAAGUCAGAUGAUGAAGCCAUAGUGAAAGCGAGCAUUAACAGUGCGAUUUAGUCGUAAGGAUUAGACCCGAAACCAGGUGACCUAACCAUGAGCAGGUUGAAGCAACCUUAAUCGGUUGUGGAGGACCGAACCAGUGUAUGUUACAAAAUGCUUGGAUGACUUGUGGUUAGCGGUGAAAUGCCAAUCGAACUUGGAGAUAGCUGGUUCUCCGCGAAAUAGUUAUAGGACUAGCGUCGUGUGAUAGCUUACGGGGGUAGAGCUCUGUCAAGAGAUAGGGGGAGCAAUCCUACCUACUCUUAAUAAACUACGAAUACCGUAUGUCUGUAUCACGGCAGUUAGAACGUCGGUGCUAAGAUCGGCGCUCAAAAGGGAAACAGCCCAGACCAUCAUCUAAGGUCCCCAAAUUUACGCUAAGUGGGAAACAAGGUGGAAUUUCUUAAACAGCUAGGAUGUUGGCUUAGAAGCAGCCAUUCAUUUAAAGAGUGCGUAACAGCUCACUAGUCAAGAGAUUCUGCGUGGAAGAUAUAACGGGGCUAAGCGUAAUACCGAAGAUAUGGAUUGCAAUUUAUUGCAGUGGUAGCGGAGCGUUCCUAUCAGCAGUGAAGCCAGACUGUUAAGUACUGGUGGAGCGUUAGGAAGUGAGAAUGCUGGAACGAGUAACCAUAAGACAGGUGAGAAUCCUGUCGGCCGAAAGAGCGAGGUUUCCUGGGCUAUGGUAAUCAUCCCAGGGUUAGUCGGGCCUAAGCCGAGGCGUUUAGCGUAGGCGAUGGACAUCAGGUUAAUAUUCCUGAACUAGUCAAACUUUGUAUGCAGUUAGCGAUGAGAUAGGUGGAGCGGAUUCAUGGUUUAUCCGUUCAAGUGAUAGAGGAAUCUUGAUCGAGUAAAAGUGAACCUACGGGUUUACGAUUCCGCUGAAGGCAUUGACCAGAAAAGCUGGCAUACGCAUGGGUUUGGCUACCCGUACCGCAAACCGACACAGGUGCUCGAGUCGAGGAGACUAAGGCUUACGAGAGAAUGAUUGCUAAGGAACUCGGCAAUACAGCGACCGUAACUUCGGAAUAAGGUCUGCCUACAUUUGUAGGCCGCAGCUAAAGAGCCCACGGAACUGUUUACCAAAAACUCAGGUCUCUGCUAACACGAAAGUGGAUGUAUAGGGGCUGAAACCUGCCCGGUGCCGGAAGGUUAAGGGGAUUGCUUCACGGUGAGAACUGAAGCCCCGGUGAACGGCGGCGGUAACUAUAACCGUCCUAAGGUAGCGAAAUUCCUUGUCAGGU
rnacentral:rRNA from 1 species